AGUCGAACGGCAGCGCGAGAGAGCUUGCUUUUUUGGCGGCGAGUGGCGGACGGGUGAGUAAUAUAUCGGAACGUGCCCAGUAGCGUUGGGAUAACUACUCGAAAGAGUGGCUAAUACCGCAUACGAACCUACGGGGGAAAGGGGGGGAUCGCAUUGACCUCUCACUAUUGGAGCUUGCCGAUAUCGGAUUAGAAUAGUUGGUGGGGUAAAGGCUCACCAAGGCAACGAUCCGUAGCUGGUUUGAGAGGACGACCAGCCACACUUGGACUGAGACACGGCCCAGACUCCUAGGGGAGGCAGCAGUCGGGAAUUUUGGACAAUGGGGGAAACCCUGAUCCAGCCAUCCCGCGUGUAUGAUGAAGGCCUUCGGGUUGUAAAGUACUUAUGAGCAGAGAAGAAAAGGUAUCGCCUAAUACGGGAUACUGCUGACGGUAUCUGCAGAAUAAGCACCGGCUAACUACGUGCCAGCAGCCGCGGUAAUACGUAGGGUGCAAGCGUUAAUCUGAAUUACUGGGCGUAAAGCGUGUGUAGGCGGUUCGGAAAGAAAGAUGUGAAAUCCCAGGGGCUCAACCUUGGAACUGCAUUUUUAACUGCCGAGCUAGAGUAUGUCAAGAGGGGGGUAGAAUUCCACGUGUAGCAGUGAAAGGCGUAGAUAUGUGGAGGAAUACCGAUGGCGAAGGCUGCCCCCUGGGAUAAUACUGACGCUCAGACACGAAAGCGUGGGGAGCAAACAGGAGUAGAUACCCUGGUAGUCCACGCCCUAAACGAUGUCAACUAGCUGUUGGGGCCGUUAGGCCUUAGUAGCGCAGCUAACGCGUGAAGUUGACCGCCUGGGGAGUACGGUCGCAAGAUUAAAACUCAACGGAAUUGACGGGGACCCGCACAAGCGGUGGGUGAUGUGGAUUAAUUCGAUGCAACGCGAAAAACCUUACCUACCCUUGACAUGUCUGGACAGCCGAAGAGAUUUGGCCGUGCUCGCAAGAGAACCGGAACACAGGUGCUGCAUGGCUGUCGUCAGCUCGUGUCGUGAGAUGUUGGGUUAAGUCCCGCAACGAGCGAAACCCUUGUCAUUAGUUGCUACGCAAGAGCACUCUAAUGAGACUGCCGGUGACAAACCGGAGGAAGGUGGGGAUGACGUCAAGUCCUCAUGGCCCUUAUAGGUAGGGCUUCACACGUCAUACAAUGGUCGGGACAGAGGGUCGCCAACCCGCGAGGGGGAGCCAAUCUCAGAAACCCGAUCGUAGGGGGUUUUNCAGUCAAAAAUUGACGG
rnacentral:rRNA from 1 species